CAGAAACUGACAGUUAUCACCCAAAAUUUUUUUGAAGUAGCAUUGAGAAAAUUCUACAGAGAUGUGCAAAGUAAGCGCAUUUAAACUGAUUCUAACAGGUAAAAAAUGAUCAAAGGCUAUGCCUGCCGUCUAGCGUCAGAAAGAAUACACGUUUAAAUGUAACAUGAAAACAAUGUCCGCUCUAGCUCGUUGACAUUCAAUUGAAAGAACUGGCAAACAAAGCAUCACACAUCACAAAAGACGAAAUCCCCAAGGUGAUAUUGAACACUACUUUAACUUCUACACUGAGGACAGAAGGCACUCAAAACAGAUAUCUGUUCAUGUUGUCUGCAAGUGAUUCCAGACGUUUCAGUAGCUGGGCAACAGUGCUGGACAGUGGACUGCUGAAAGCAGAGGGAAAACACCCAGUUGGCUACAUACUACAAGGCAACAGCAAAUGUAAAGUCAAUCACAAACGCUGGUAAGGAUAAAAAAUCCUUUCCACACUACACUAUCUGACAACAACAGCAAGUUCCUGGCUCAUUCGAUCCCCACUCUAGGGACUGAGCAUCUAAUUAAAUUAAUAGUCACCUGUAUCACCCAUUAGCUUUAUUU
rnacentral:lncRNA from 1 species